GUAGGUGGCAAGCGUUGUCCGGAAUUAUUGGGCGUAAAGCGCGCGCAGGCGGUUCUUUAAGUCUGAUGUGAAAGCCCACGGCUCAACCGUGGAGGGUCAUUGGAAACUGGAGAACUUGAGUACAGAAGAGGAAAGCGGAAUUCCACGUGUAGCGGUGAAAUGCGUAGAGAUGUGGAGGAACACCAGUGGCGAAGGCGGCUUUCUGGUCUGUAACUGACGCUGAGGCGCGAAAGCGUGGGGAGCAAACAGGGAUUAGAUACCCUGGUAGUCCACGCCAUAAACGAUGAGUGCUAAGUGUUAGGGGGGUUUCCGCCCCCCUUAGUGCUGCAGCUAACGCAUUAAGCACUCCGCCUGGGAGUACGGCCGCAAGGCUG
rnacentral:rRNA from 1 species